rnacentral:rRNA from 1 species
UCGGGAAUUUUGGGCAAUGGGGGAAACCCUGACCCAGCAACGCCGCGUGAAGGAUGAAGUAUUUCGGUAUGUAAACUUCGAAAGAAUAGGAAGAAUAAAUGACGGUACUAUUUAUAAGGUCCGGCUAACUACGUGCCAGCAGCCGCGGUAAUACGUAGGGACCAAGCGUUGUUCGGAUUUACUGGGCGUAAAGGGCGCGUAGGCGGCAUGACAAGUCACUUGUGAAAUCUCUGGGCUUAACCCAGAACGGCCAAGUGAUACUGUCGCGCUAGAGUGCAGAAGGGGCAAUCGGAAUUCUUGGUGUAGCGGUGAAAUGCGUAGAUAUCAAGAGGAACACCUGAGGUGAAGACGGGUUGCUGGGCUGACACUGACGCUGAGACGCGAAAGCCAGGGGAGCAAACGGGAUUAGAUACCCCCGUAGUCCCUGAGCGGGCUGGCAAGGCGCAU